rnacentral:rRNA from 1 species
CCUACGGGUGGCAGCAGUGGGGAAUAUUGGACAAUGGGGGCAACCCUGAUCCAGCCAUGCCGCGUGUGUGAAGAAGGCCCUCGGGUUGUAAAGCACUUUCAGUGAGGAAGAACGCCUGGUGGUUAAUACCCAUCAGGAAAGACAUCACUCACAGAAGAAGCACCGGCUAACUCCGUGCCAGCAGCCGCGGUAAUACGGAGGGUGCGAGCGUUAAUCGGAAUUACUGGGCGUAAAGCGCGCGUAGGUGGCUUGAUAAGCCGGUUGUGAAAGCCCCGGGCUCAACCUGGGAACGGCAUCCGGAACUGUCAAGCUAGAGUGCAGGAGAGGAAGGAAGAAUUCCCGGUGUAGCGGUGAAAUGCGUAGAGAUCGGGAGGAAUACCAGUGGCGAAGGCGGCCUUCUGGACUGACACUGACACUGAGGUGCGAAAGCGUGGGUAGCAAACAGGAUUAGAUACCCCAGUAGUC